CCUACGGGAGGCAGCAGUGGGGAAUAUUGGACAAUGGGCGAAAGCCUGACCCAGCAACGCCGCGUGAAGGAAGAAGGCUUUCGGGUUGUAAACUUCUUUUGUCAGGGAAGAGUAGCAGACGGUGCCUGACGUCUCGUCCACAGCUAACUACGUUCCAGCAGCCGCGGUAAUACGUAGGUGGCAGGCGUUGUCCGGAUUUACUGGGUGUCAUGGGCGUGUAGCCGGGUUGACAAGUCAGAUGUGAAAUCCUGCGGCUUAACCGCAGAACUGCAUUUGAAACUGUUGAUCUUGAGUACUGGAGAGGCAGACGGAAUUCCUAGUGUAGCGGUGAAAUGCGUAGAUAUUAGGAGGAACACCAGUGGCGAAGGCGGCUUGCUGGACAGCAACUGACGGUGAGGCGCGAAAGCGUGGGGAGCAAACAGGAUUAGAUACCCGGGUAGUC
rnacentral:rRNA from 1 species